rnacentral:rRNA from 1 species
UACGACGGGGGCAAGCGUUGUUCGGAUUUACUGGGCGUAAAGGGCGCGUAGGCGGAUCUGCAAGUCAGAGGUGAAAGCCCUGGGCUCAACCCGGGAAUGGCCUUUGAGACUGCAAGUCUUGAGUGCGAGAGAGGGUGGCGGAAUACCCAGUGUAGAGGUGAAAUUCGUAGAGAUUGGGGAGAACACCGGUGGCGAAGGCGGCCACCUGGCUCGCAACUGACGAUGAGGCGCGAAAGCGUGGGGAGCAAACAGG